rnacentral:lncRNA from 1 species
GCCAACCAGGACAUCUUAUCCGGGAGUGCCCGACAUGGACGUCGUCUGCGCCGACGGCGGCAUCAACACCGUCUACCUCGAGACAGCUUGCGGGGUUACCACCAGCGAUGUCGGCUGGGCGUGCGUCAUCACCGCGUCAGCCGGAGGGAUCGAGAGCGCCUAGCGGCCGAGUCUUUGCCGCUCAGGUAGAGGAGCAGCAACCUGCAGCACCCGACGACGUCGUAGCAGGUAUAAUUGUGAUUAAAGGCACUAGAGCUAGAGCAGUGUUUGAUACAGGUGCAUCUCAUUCAUUCAUUAGCACGUCAUUUGCUAAAAAUCAUGGCAUAUAGAUGGU